AAACAAAAAUUAGUCUUGGAUCAGAACAACUAAUUCCAUAAUCGGGCAACGAUUUGAAAUUGUAAUUCAAUUAUACUACGAAGGUAACAACGAUAUCAAAGAUUGCUUUUGGCAGAUACUUCGAUGACAUAAGUAUUUAUGGCAUGUUUGUAGCCAUUUGUCGUUAUGGUACAUUUGUAUCCAUAUCUACUUAUACCAUUGAAGUAUAUGCCAAAAGCAAUCUCUGAUAUCGCUAUUGCCUUCGUUGUAUAAUUAAAUUGCCAUUUGAAACCAUUGCCUGGUUAUGGCAUUGGUUGUUCUGAUUCGAGGCUAAUUU
rnacentral:pre_miRNA from 1 species